ensembl:lncRNA
CUUUCCUGUAUUUUAAUUUUCCUAAGAAUGGGGAAGGACUCAAGCUAGUGAAGAAAGAGCCCUUUCUGAAGAACAGGACUCAGAAAGUAUUAGCACAGAGCAGAUCUCCCAGUAGAAAUUCUUCCCCUUAGACAGGCAGCCCUUAAACGAGGGUGGGGAGGGCUGGAGCCAGGCUCCACCCCUUUUUUGCCCAGGUGAAAUGCUUGCAGCUUUGCUCCACAGCAGAACGUGUUUUAAUAAUGCCUGUGGAAGCCUGUGACAUAAAAGAAUCCUUUCUUCCUUCUUUCUUUCUGGUUUGUGUUUGUUGCUUGCAGUUCCAAGCAGGUGGACUCUCAGUGUCUUGCAAGUGCCACCUAGCAGCAGCAGCAGGUCCAGCCAGGAGGCACAGCACCCUGCAACCUCCAGGUGAGUGACAGCAGGCAGGCAGGCCUUUGGGCUCUGCAGGGUCAUUGUGUGGAGCAUUAUGCACAGGAACAGCUGAGUGUAAAGAUGAUGUCCGAGCUGCAGAGCUAAGCAUAACGGAGAGGCACGGCGGCUCAGCUCGUUUCUCACCGUAAGGCAGGAAAUAAGAGCCACAAGGGAUAUGCAGACGCUUUGUGCUUUUGUCUGUUUCCUCCCUCCUUCUGCCCCUGUCAGAGGGGAGGAACGAGCUGCACUUGCACAUGGAUGUUGCUCUCACGGCCACUCCCCCCUCAGGUUGGAGCAUUCCUGGCUGCAGGAUGGGCAAACCUAAGUUCUUGCCUGAUUGUGUCUGUAAAGCUUAAAAAGGGAGACGAACUAUGGCAUCUUGGCUCAUGAAGUGAGAGAGGGGAUGCUGUGCUAUUGGGCUGCAGUCAAGAGUCUGAGAGAGUGUGUGUUAUGUGAGAUUUGAGAGACAGUUCUGGGGAGUGUGGGAGGAGUGCAAAUGUGCGAGGGUGCUUUUCCUUUCAGGGGCCUUUGUGCACCAGCAGAUGUUGAUGCCCUAGAAGCACGGUGCGGAGCACAUCCUGGGAUCAAGGUGCCACGGACUGGAAAAUGCUGCUGUGGCGGAGUUCCUGUGUGAAGACAAAACUCCCAGUCGCCCAGAAAUGUGGAGGCAGAAGAGCAGUGACAAGGUAUCUACAUGUCUAUCUGUGUAUGUGCACAACAGGCCCUGCUUCCUCCCUGCUGUGCCAGUCAAUCUGGCCCCCUGGACUCGGGCAUCCAGCUUUUGGAGCAGGUCCAAAACCAUCUCAUUGUGGAUUAUGCAUGGCCUAUUCGGGUCCCCAUUCCUAUCUACCAGCACAGGCGACUGUGUUCCCAGGAAGUAAUGAGUCUUGCUAUUAAAGACUGAGGCAACGAAGGCAUUAAGUACCUCAGCCUUGUCCUGAUCCUUGGCCACCAAGUUGCCCUCGGCAUCCAAGAAGGGAUGGAGAUUCUCCCUAGCCCUCCUCUUGCUGUAGAUGUAUUUACAGAAAUAUUUAUUGUUGCCCUUUACCUUGGUGGCCAAGCUCAGUUCUAGCUGGGCUUUGGCUUUUCUAAUUUUCUCCCUGCACAUAUUUGCUACGUACCUGUAAUCAUCAUAAGAAGCUUGCCCACUCUUCCACAGACCAUACUCUGUGGAAUCAGCUCCUGCACCUUUAAAAUUACUUCCUGAAAGUAUUGCCAGCCUUCCUGGGCUCCCACGCCCUCCAAAAGUACUUCCCAAGGGACCCUCUCAACCAUGGUCCUCAAGAGGUUCAAGUUUGCUCUCUGGAAGUCCAAGGUGGCAGUUCUGCUGACUCCCCUCCGUGGUUCAGCAAGGAUUGAGAAAUCUAGCAUCUCACGAUCCCUUUGCCCCAGGCGGCCUCCAGCCUUGACAUCCCCCACAAGACCUUCUCUGUUAACAAACAGCAGGAUUUUGCUUCCCCUUGCUGGCUGCCUCACCAGCUGUGUCAGGAAGUGUCGGCCUC